CCACUGUCCCUCUCUCUGCCUCCUCUCCAGACACUGUCACUCUCUCUGCCUCCUCUCCUCCCUCUCCAGACACUGUCCCUCUCUCUGCCUCCUCUCCUCCCUCUCCAGACACUGUCCCUCUCUCUGCCUCCUCUCCUCCCUCUCCAGACACUGUCCCUCUCUCUGCCUCCUCUCCUCCCUCUCCACACACUGUCCCUCUCUCUGCCUCCUCUCCAGACACUGUCCCUCUCUCUGCCUCCUCUCCAGACACUGUCCCUCUCUCUGCCUCCUCUCCUCCCUCUCCAGACACUGUCCCUCUCUCUGCCUCCUCUCCUCCUCUCCAGACACUGUCCCUCUCUCUGCCUCCUCUCCAGACACUGUCCCUCUCUCUGCCUCCUCUCCAGACACUGUCACUCUCUCUGCCUCCUCUCCUCCCUCUCCAGACACUGUCCCUUUCUCUGCCUCCUCUCCUCCCUCUCCAGACACUGUCCCUCUCUCUGCCUCCUCUCCAGACACAGUUCCUCUCUCUGCCUCCUCUCCUCCCUCUCCAGACACUGUCCCUCUCUCUGCCUCCUCUCCUCCCUCUCCAGACACUGUCCCUUUCUCUGCCUCCUCUCCUCCCUCUCCAGACACUGUCCCUCUCUCUGCCUCCUCUCCAGACACUGUUCCUCUCUCUGCCUCCUCUCCUUCCUCUCCAGACACUGUCCCUCUCUCUGCCUCCACUCCUCCCUCUCCAGACACUGUCCCUCUCUCUGCCUCCUCUCCAGACACUGUUCCUCUCUCUGCCUCCUCUCCUCCCUCUCCAGACACUGUCCCUCUCUCUGCCUCCUCUCCAGACACUGUCCCUCUCUCUGCCUCCUCUCCAGACACUGUUCCUCUCUCUGCCUCCUCUCCUCCCUCUCCAGACACUGUCCCUCUCUCUGCCUCCUCUCCUCCCUCUCCAGACACUGUUCCUUUUGUUUAUGUGAAUGUGUAUAUAGCCUACUGUGUGUAUCCGUUCUCUGUGAGUAUGUAUAUAGCCUACUGUGUGUAUCCGUUCUCUGUGAGUAUACUGUAAAACUGUGUCAAAACACACUACUACUAUCACCACUAACCCCAACGUUACCCUGA
rnacentral:lncRNA from 1 species